CUUCAGCGAGCCCAGCCAGAGCGGGCUGUCGGCCGGGCGGUUCUCGCCGUACGUGCCGAGCAGGGCCUGCGCCUC
rnacentral:antisense_RNA from 1 species